rnacentral:pre_miRNA from 1 species
AUCCGGCCUGGGAGCACUCUCUAGUGAUAUACAUGGGGAAAUUGCCACCAGGUCAGAUGG